CUACGGGCUGCACCAGUGAGGAAUAUUGGUCAAUGGGCGCGAGCCUGAACCAGCCAUCCCGCGUGCAGGAUGACGGCCCUAUGGGUUGUAAACUGCUUUUCUAUGCCAAGAAACCUGAUUACGUGUAAUCAGUUGCCGGUAGCAUAGGAAUAAGCAUCGGCUAACUCCGUGCCAGCAGCCGCGGUAAUACGGAGGAUGCAAGCGUUAUCCGGAUUCAUUGGGUUUAAAGGGUGCGCAGGUGGGCUUGUAAGUCAGUGGUGAAAUGCUGCCGCUUAACGGUAGAACUGCCAUUGAUACUGCGAGUCUUGAGUAUGGUUGAGGUAGGCGGAAUGUGUUGUGUAGCGGUGAAAUGCAUAGAUAUGACACAGAACGCCAAUUGCGAAGGCAGCUUACUAAGCCAUUACUGACGCUGAGGCACGAAAGCGUGGGGAGCGAACAGGAUUAGAUACCCCUGUAGUC
rnacentral:rRNA from 1 species